ensembl:lncRNA
GCUGCUGUCACCAUGGAAACCAUCGAUGCAUCUCUGGGUCUCAGUGAGGAAAAGACACCGGAUCACCUAGCAGAUGGAGAGACACCCAGAAGAAAAGAUGACCAUCAUGAUGAGCUCAUCAGAGACGUCCACAAAUUCAGCAGGACCUCCUGGGGAGGGGGAGGCGAGUUUCACAGGGGAGCAAGUGGAUCCACGUCAGUGCGCCGACACUGUGGAGGAACCACACUGCUGCACCUCGACCUCCUCAGUGCUGCUCACCUGAAUCAUCAACACGUUCCCGCUGGAGAGUAAAGUGAAGCCUGAGAGUCUCUGGUGCGAAGCGUCGACCUGGACUGUCUGCAUCUCUUCAAAAAAAGUGACGUGAUUUCUCUAUUGACAUUAAAACUUUAUUGACGUUUAUUCUGCAUCCAACUUUUGUUGUCAUGUGUCAUAAUAAUGCUAAUACACAACCCACAAAACCUUCUGAAACAAGUAAAAGUCCUGCAUAUCAAAUCUGACUUGAAGUUGCAACAGAACAGUCGUGUUGCGUUGAAGCGGACGGUCGCUGUGGACUGAAGAGGAAAUGUCUCAGAGCACCAGCUGGAGUCUGAGCUGAAGGAAGUUCUGGUGAACCUGCUUGAGUUUAUCUGAUAGCAGAAAGCCAUUGCAGAACGAGGAGCCUGACGAACAAAUAAGAAAAAAACUUGACAAAUGGCCUCAUGGUGG